UAUAUUUUAGUGUAAGAUGCACUAUAGAUUUUGAUUCUGUAAGGUUUAGUUUAAUUCUAAAAAAUAUAA
rnacentral:tRNA from 1 species